rnacentral:rRNA from 1 species
UACGAACUGUGCGAACGUUAUUCGGAAUCACUGGGCUUACAGGGUGCGUAGGCGGCUUAGCAAGUCAGGUGUGAAAGCCCCCGGCUCAACCGGGGAACUGCGCUUGAAACUGCUGAGCUCGAGUCAGCUAGAGGUACACGGAACUUCCAGUGGAGCGGUGAAAUGUGUUGAUAUUGGAAGGAACACCAGAGGCGAAAGCGGUGUACUGGGGCUGGUCUGACGCUGAGGCACGAAAGCCAGGGGAGCGAACGGG